AGGGCAUUGGGUCAGGCUUACAGAGCACAGUGAGGUAGGCAGAGGCUGAGGGCGGGCGCAGGAGGCCGUUGCUGGGCACACAGGUGUAGCGACCCGCGUCGUCAGGCUGGGCAGCCUGUAGCCGCAGGCUCCCGUCUACCAAGAUUCGCACUCGGGGCUGCAGGCGGCUGCAAUGUGGCACGUGUGGGCAGGGGUCCAGGCUGGCCGAGCCCGGGGGCUCCUCGGAGACUGCCCGCCAGGGUCCCGCCCACCCCAGAGCCCCACCUAAUGUGGAAAACGUUGAUGCUGUCCUGGAACCAGCUGUAGGUGAGGUUGGUGGGGUACGCCUCAGCCCGGCAGGCCAAGGAAACGUCCUGGGAGGCAUUGACCGUGCUGUUCUUGGGGGGCACCACGAUGACCGGCGGGCCUGUGGGCAAGCACAUGGGGAGAGAGGGGUCUCAGCCCUGGGGUCCCCUAUACAGUGCCCGGAAUCCACAAGGAGCUGUCACAGGGCCUUGGGGAACUGAAACAGCCGUAACCCCUGCACAUAACGGAAGUUCCCUCUCUUCCCCAGGCCGGAUGGCCUUGGCACAGGGACAGCCCCAUUCACCCCGAUUCCCCGGCCUGGAACCUGUGUGUGCGUGUCUGUGCCUGCCUGUGGGGGAGGGGAGUCAGGUUUACUCUCUGCCCAUUCACCCUUUACAUCCCUAGCCCGUCAUGUGCCAGAUGGCCUCCACGUGUCCUGCCCUAAUGCAGGUCCCAACACCUCACCCCGGGAUACGGCACAAUCCCCGAUCCAGGCUCCAAAUCUCGCCACUCCGGUGGCCAUUUGCGCAGAGAUGUCCCCUUGGGCCACAGUACACUCGCUGUCCAAGAACUCAGAAGUCCUGGCUUCCACCACAUCAGGCUCGAACUUCUGGACCCAGCCCCGUGGGCACUCAUGAUCCGACCCCGCCCGGCCUGGCCAAGCCUCACAAACUCUUUCAGGUGAAGUGAUGAAGGCUGAGAGGCAGAGAAGUGAGGUGAGGGCUCAAAGCUAGCCGGGCAGGCAAGGCUCAUUCACGCCCUCCUGAUUCCAGCGGACCUGGCCCUGGGCAGUUCCUCCACGCCGCCCUCCCACGGAACCAGGGACAGUGACCCUUCGCUCCCUCAUCUGACUUCCCUUAAGAGGAGGCUCUCUGAAGGCAGCGUGCAGGCCGUCUCUUAGCUCUCCUUCCGGAAGGAAGGUCCUGGACAAGGAUUACUAAGUGCUGAUCACUGUGCUCAGCUGAACCCGAUGAAAUUCUUGAAACCAUCCUAA